UGGGGGGUAGAGAAACGGCAAUCUCACUGGCCUCAUCAAGCCGGAGACACCUGGUUCGACUCCAGGCCCCCUUACCA
rnacentral:tRNA from 1 species